GACGAACGCUGGCGGCGUGCUUAACACAUGCAAGUCGAACGAAGUGGCGAACGGGUGAGUAACGCGUAAUCAACCUGCCCUUCCGAGGGGGACAACAGUUGGACACGACUGCUAAUACCGCAUACUGACGGCGGGGAUUGCGUCGUAUUAGCUGGUUGGAGGGGUCACGGCCCACCAAGGCGAUGAUCAGUAGCCGGUCUGGGAGGAUGAACGGCAACAUGGGGACUGAGACACGGCCCAGACUCCUACGGGAGGCAGCAGUGGGGAAGCUUCCGCAAUGGACGAAAGUCUGACGGAGCAACGCCGCGGGAGUGAUGACGGCCUUCGGGUUGUAAAGCUCUGUUAAUCGGGACGCGGUACCGGAAUAGAAAGCAACGGCUAACUACGUGCCAGCAGCCGCGGUAAUAC
rnacentral:rRNA from 1 species